AGAGCGCAUUUUCGUCAACGCCCGCAAAACUGAGAAAUCUGUAGUUUUCGGGUGCAGUUUACGAUUGAAUCCGUUGAAUUAUGUCCACUAGUUUAGGUACCUACAGAUAGCCUAAGCCUUUGACUACUGGAAACUGCUUUUUUAAUUGGAGAAAUCACUGUUUUUUAUACAGUAAAAGCAAAUUUCCUUACCCUCCUCUCGUGAAAACAAUGAAAACAGGGUGUGUUUAGGUGCGCAAAUCUCAGAUAUUAUAAGAUUUUAGUGUUUAUAAAAAAUAUGUUCUUAUAAUUGAUAUACUCUAUUUUGCGAAACUUAUUUCUAUAGGUCCGAAAUCCUAUACAAAACUAAGAAAAUAAAUAAACUGUUCUCUUAAAAAAAAACACGAUUUUCGUGGUCUUCGUAAUUCUUUAGCGGCAAGUAAUAGGGUUCAUUUUUCAACUGUCUUAUCCCGUACUGUUACAAUGAAUUUUCAAAAAUCAAAUCAGUCUGCGCCACGGCGCCUUUGUGGGUGGACCUGUGUCGGUUUUUCUCCGCCGCUCAAAGUGAAAACAUCGCUGUACAGAUACGAAUAGUUAUUUCCUUGCUCUUGAGACUUGAAUCUUCAUUGAUUACGAAAAAUAUGGGACGGUAUAAGAAGUUUGGAGUAACUCGAAAAAUGAUUAAUGCAAAUAGACGUAAUGCGCAAAUACGUAGAACGGUCAUAAUCGCGAGUAACCAAAAAAACACCCAG